ACCAUCCCACAUUUGUGGUUCUGUGUUUACUUUUACUUCAAACCAACUUUCUGCAUGAUUUUAUAAAAGAGAAAGCAUCAACAAAUUUAUAUUAACAUCCAGAUUCUGAACUUAAGUCUGAGGAGUGUGCCAACCAGUUCUUCUUCAUUGUAGAGGAUCCCUCCAGACAGAGAGUGGAGAGAGAGUUUAAAGUAACAAGAGGCCAGUUAAAGUUUCCUGCAGUUGCCAAGAAGAAAAAUCAUGGUUGAUAAGAUCAGGAUGAUAGCAAUGGAGAUUGAAAAACUAGAUUGAUUAUGGAAAUGUUUUGCUUUUGCUUCCACUUUUUGAUGGAUUGUCUGUAAGAGAAGAUGACAUUGGUACUGGCACAGCGGCUUUUGUAUCUGGACAAAUUGAAUCUUUCAGUUGAACUCAGAAGACCUGAGAUUAAUGACAAUAAUGAUGAUCAUGAUGAGGAAGUCAGGGAACUCUAUAGAUAUUGAAGAGGACAAAAAGGAUGAGAAGAAGAGCACAUAAUCAUGGUGUGGCAUCACAAACCAUCAAGGUGACAUGUGUCCCUGAAUAUUUGAUUGUAUUUUGUUUGCAGAAGUAAGAAAACUAGCCACCAGUUGUGCAGAUAAAUUUAGAUUAUGUUCUGUCUGCGAAGAAAAUCAGUCUCAAACCUCAUUUACGGCAACCACAGCUUUGGCAGAGAAUGAUCUCUCUAAAGCAACUUAACAAGG